rnacentral:tmRNA from 1 species
GGGGCUGCAUUUGGUUUCGACGUGGGCUCGGAAUCGCAGUGGUGCAUGUCGAGCUUGGUGUGCUCGUAAAACUGACCAAAACAAAGUAACUGCAAACGACGAACGUUUCGCACUCGCUGCUUAAACACCAGUGAGCCUUGCAACAGUUGGCCGAUGGGCUGGGCAAGGGGGUGACGGAGUGAUCCGGCGCCUCCCGGCUGCAAGGGAAUUCACAUGGGCUGGCCUCGAUCCGGGUACCUUGGGCUGAGGUGAGAACAAAGGGUACUGGCCACCGGCGGAGCGUGCGACUGCGCGCCGCAGGUUGCGAGAUCCAAAACAGACCGCUAAACAUGUAGAUCUGCGCGAGGAAGGUUGACGGACGGGGGUUCGACUCCCCCCAGCUCCACCA